rnacentral:lncRNA from 1 species
CAUAUUCCUCGCAUGAUCCGCCCCCGCAUUAGAUCACACCACUUAACACCAGGCCAACUGACCGAUGCAGGUGAAACUGACAUUGGAAGCUGGGAGAACGGUACAGAAAAGUGGAUCCGCCUAAUGUUCUCACUCAUUCCAUGCUCUCCUUCUCCUUCUCUUUGUUUUCCUAAUUGCCCACUCUAAUUGUAAAUUUGUGAACUCGUUUCUUCAUACCCCUCUCCAAAUUAAAAAAAUCGGUGGGCUAUGGUGCGUCUUCGUCUCACUCUUUUUAUGCAAACCCUGUAUGUAGUUGCUUAUCUCAUAUAUGUAUGUAUGUAUGUACAUAACUUUAAAAGGUAUCAAAGUCGUCGACAACAUAUCCACUAGGAUAACUUCGAUUUCCUCACCAAACAUGUUUUUAAUUUCAAGAGCUCACGUCGAGAAAAUUCCU